rnacentral:rRNA from 1 species
AGUGAACGCUGGCGGUAGGCCUAACACAUGCAAGUCGAACGGCAGCACAGUAAGAGCUUGCUCUUACGGGUGGCGAGUGGCGGACGGGUGAGGAAUACAUCGGAAUCUACUUUUUCGUGGGGGAUAACGUAGGGAAACUUACGCUACUACCGCAUACGACCUACGGGUGAAAGCAGUGGAUCUUCGGACCUUGCGCGAUUGAAUUAGCCGAUGUCGGAUUAGCUAGUUGGCGGGGUAAAGGCCCACCAAGGCGACGAUCCGUAGCUGGUCUGAGAGGAUGAUCAGCCACACUGGAACUGAGACACGGUCCAGACUCCUACGGGAGGCAGCAGUGGGGAAUAUUGGACAAUGGGCGCAAGCCUGAUCCAGCCAUACCGCGUGGGUGAAGAAGGCCUUCGGGUUGUAAAGCCCUUUUGUUGGGAAAGAAAAGCAGCAGGUUAAUACCCCGCUGUUCUGACGGUACCCAAAGAAUAAGCACCGGCUAACUUCGUG